rnacentral:rRNA from 1 species
GCGCACGGGUGAGUAACGCGUAGAUCAUCUGCCCCUAUCACUGACAUAACAGUUCUAACGGACUUGCUAAUAUCAGAUGAGGUGAGUAAUCACCAAAGUUUCGACGGAUAGGGAUGAGUCUGCGUCUGAUUAGGUAGCUUGGUGAGGUAACGGCUCACCAAGCCGACGAUCAGUAACUGGUCUGAGAGGACGAACAGUCACACUGGAACUGAGACACGGUCCAGACUCCUACGGGAGGCAGCAGUGAGGAAUAUUGCACAAUGGGAGGAAUCCUGAUGCAGCGACGCCGCGUGCGGGAUGAAGGGGCUUAGCCUCGUAAACCGCUGUCGGAGGGGACGAAUGGUACAUUUGAUGUACUGAGACGGUACCCUCAAAGGAAGGAUCGGUAAUACGUGCCAGCAGCCGCGGUAAUACGUAGGAUCCGGAGCGUUGUCCCGGGAAUUUACUGGGGUGGUCAAAGGGUUGCGUUAGGGCGGGAACUUGUUGGCGUCCCGAAGGUUGGAAAUUUCCCCAANGGGGGCUUUUAAACCCGGGUGGGGGGGUUGGCCUUUUGGGANUAACACGGGGGCAAAAGGNCCCUUGGGAGUUUGGAAAAAAAAA